CUGCUGCAGAUAUGGAUGACAUCCCCUGUCAGCAGCUCUCCAGAUCCUCUUGCUGGCAAACGCUGCCAGAGCAAGUUGCCAAGACACGAAUUUCCAUUCCAUCCCUUUGAACGUGAAGCAGAUGACACACUGUGAGAGUUUCCAUUGGGUGAUACUGCCUGUUACAUGAAGGAAGAAAUGUCUUCUAGCGGCCUUGGUUUCAUAGUGCUGAACCUGCUGCAAUUGUCUAUUUGACACCUAUAUGGAACAAACACUAAUGGACAAGUGUUUACUUAAGGGAGAACUGUGUUUCCCAAGCAAGACAGAACAUGCUGCAUUGAAGAAUGUCUGGUGGCACUUGUGACCGAAGGAAAUAUCUUCAAUAAUCCUUAACUGUGUGUCUUGGGGUGUCAAACUUACUUUGUGGCCUGGGCUGGAUAUGGACCUCAGGGCUUCUUGCAGGCUAGAUCUGGACCAGAGCACAAAGAAGAUUCUGUGGUGGUGGAAGAUCUGAACAGGAACAAGAGCAAGCUCCAGCUCUGGACUGGAGGACAUGGUGGCAUCUGCUCAAGAUCUGCUCCAGCUCUGACUCCAGCCUGGGACACACACCAGGGGCCAGUGGACAGUUAGGUAGGGCUGCAGCAGUGGCCACUGGUGAAGCAGCCAGGGGGACAAGUGCGGUUGUGUCAGCUCUCACUUGUCUUCCUGCUGCUGAAUGCUGUUCAGCGGCUUCCCCAGCUGAGCCCAGUGUUCCUCUCAACCUAAGGAACAUUCUGAACCCACGUGUCCCACUUUCAAGAUCAUAUGACAGCAACCCACUCUGCCCUCCCCUUCUGCGAUUGUUUAGAUAUCUCUCCAUUUGGAAAGCUGAAUUGGUCCGCUCCUAUGCCAGCACUCAGGAGUCAUAGACCCAUGAUUACAUGUAGGUUUCUGUAAUGUCUAAGAUUGUGAGUAAGCCUUCAUGUGAUUUU